AACAGAGGAUGCAAGCGUUAUCCGGAAUUAUUGGGCGUAAAGAGCUCGUAGGCGGUUUGUCGCGUCUGCUGUGAAAGCCCGGGGCUUAACCCCGUGGUGUGCAGUGGGUACGGGCAGACUAGAGUGCAGUAGGGGAGACUGGAAUUCCUGGUGUAGCGGUGAAAUGCGCAGAUAUCAGGAGGAACACCGAUGGCGAAGGCAGGUCUCUGGGCUGUUACUGACGCUGAGGAGCGAAAGCAUGGGGAGCGAACAGG
rnacentral:rRNA from 1 species